rnacentral:rRNA from 1 species
AAUGAACGCUGGCGGCGUGGUUAAGACAUGCAAGUCGAACGGGCUUUCCGGUGUAGCAAUACAUUGGAGAGUCAGUGGCGAACGGGUGCGUAACACGUGAACAAUCUACCAUUGAGUGUGGAAUAGCUCGCCGAAAGGCGGAUUAAUACCGCAUGUGGUUGGCUCCCGCAUGGGAGACAUACUAAAGCCGGGGACCGCAAGGCCUGGCGCUAAAUGAGGAGUUCGCGGCCUAUCAGCUAGUUGGCGAGGUAACGGCUCACCAAGGCUAAGACGGGUAGCUGAUCUGAGAGGAUGAUCAGCCACACUGGAACUUAGACACGGUCCAGACACCUACGUGUGGCAGCAGUUUAGAAUCAUUCACAAUGGACGAAAGCCUGAUGGUGCGACGCCGCGUGAGGGAUGAAGGUCUUCGGAUUGUAAACCUCUGUCACUGGGGAGAAAACGCUUUGAACCAACACUUCAAAGCCUGAUUUAACCCGGAGAGGAAGCAGUGGCUAACUCUGUGCCAGCCGCCGCCGUAAAAC